CCUCAAAGCAGGGUAAUCUGACUAUGAUUUCAAGUCCUUGGCACUCUCCCCUCAAGACAGCCGAGCCAAGAACCUGUAAUGCCUGCUUCACAAAUGAGUGCCCAGAAAUUUCUGUAUUAGGAGACAACCAUGCAUUGGAUUCCCACUGGCUUCCAGGUCCUGAGCAAGGAGUUCUAGUUUCAUUUAAGGACAACCUUCCACUUUUCUGGGAGGACCAUCCGGAUGUGGCAGGAGAGCUCCAGUGGUGGGGAAUUCACCCAGAAGUUCUAUAGAUGCCAUGUCACAGGCUGGGUGCUCUGCUCGUCUGGAAAUAUUCUAUGUCCCAAGAGUCUACAUCUAGGACUUCUGGUGUCUGCUAGUCUUCACAGCUUUAGCCAAAGAAGGAGACCACAUGAAGAGAAAUGCCUGGGCCUGUGAGGACUGUUGGUGCCCUGAAGCCCUUGUUAUUGGCAGCAUGUCACAAACAAGUCCAUAAAACAACUGAGUCUCCAUCUUAGAAUCUCAAAACGUGUCCACAGGGACACAGUGGGCUCCAAUGGCUAGCUAAUUACCACCAAUCUCCAGUCCACACGAUAUCUAACCAAGGUCACAUUCCUCCUUCUUCAACCUCAGGAUCUCCC
rnacentral:lncRNA from 1 species